GAUACUACUGAGCCACGUUACCUUUGCCUUUGACCUUGCCUUGUACACCAAGUAAUUUUGUCUUUGUAUCCUGCAGGUUUCCUGAACCUGAUUCUGCCUUGCAUUGAAUCCUGCCUGGAUAAACCGUCUUCUGGAAGGAAGCAAUCCAGUUCCAUGAACAAAGACUCAAGUCUCUCAUGACUUCGUUGGAUCACGUCGGCUGGCAGCCUCCUGAUUCCUGCGUACCUCGGACCUCCAUCUGCGAACCCUGUCCACCCUCCUCCCUCCAUUGCACCUCGUGGAUUACAAACUCUCCUGGCUUACCAUAUCCACCAACUUCAGUCUCACUGGCAAACAACCACUUGGUUUCUCCACUCCCCUUCUGGCAGAUCCCUCCACCAUUCUUUGGUGCAACAGGCAGGUGCUUCCACACAGCUGUGGAUCAUCAGGAGCAAUUAAGUAAGCAGCAGGAACCCUGAAGGAGGCAUUAUAUUAUUAACUCUCCUGAAUGAGUGAAGUAGAUCUAGGACUCAGACCUGGAUUUCCAGCUCAAUGUUCUGUGUCCCAAAUUUGUCGUUGGAAGGGAACACUUGACUGUGUAACUCCACCGAAAACCUCCUUCAGACCUGCAAAGCCAAGAGAAGUACCCACUUUAACUCCAGACUGUGGGUUUUCAAAAUACCCUCCAACUCCAGUCACCUCACAUCAUAGAGAACCAGCCUUAGCAAUCACUCACAAAGAUCUUACCUGUCUACCCCAGCCUUUGUCACACUGCUCACCUUGUCUUGGAAAAUCCAUCUCAAACUUACCAGUAAGAAAUCCUACCUGUUCAAUCCAGUUGUUACCUCCAGCUAUCUGUACUCACUUCUCUCUCUCCCUGAGUGCCUCGAUCUGCAGAAACCAGACCCUGGGCAAACCACCACAGCUUUGUUUGUGUUUUCAAUAAACCUGUUCAAACUUA